rnacentral:misc_RNA from 1 species
AGAAUUUCUUCUUUAAAAAAUAAAUGCUGAAAUUACAUAUCUAGUUGAUUACACUGAAUACACAUUAAUUUCUUUCCUAAUAAGCUAUGAGUUCGGCAAACAACAUCUAUCUUUAUCCUAGUAUCAACAAAUUGAAGAAGGGAAGAACAAAUUAUCAUAAAAGAGUAGGGUACACGUGAAAAAAGGGAACAUAUAAUUUCACCAGUUCAUCUUUAAUUUCACAUUAUCCUAGUUCAUUAAAAGGAAGUUUAUACCUUUACCAAAAACUUCCUUUUCCCAAGAUUCAUUAAAUUACCUUAA